UGUAUUGGAACACUACAGCUCC
rnacentral:miRNA from 12 species